ACAUCCCUAGAUUGGAAUAGUGAAGGUACACUUCUAGCAACUGGUUCAUACGAUGGAUUUGCCAGAAUAUGGACUAAAGAUGGUAACCUUGCUAGCACCUUGGGGCAGCAUAAGGGCCCUAUAUUUGCAUUAAAGUGGAAUAAGAAAGGAAAUUUCAUCCUAAGUGCUGG